AGCGGAGGAAAAGAAACUAACAAGGAUUCCCCUAGUAACGGCGAGUGAAGAGGGAAGAGCUCAAAUUUUAAAUCUGCCUUGUUUUCANGGUCGAGUUGUAAUUUGAAGAAGCGUUUUCUUGGGCUCGCGGCCGGUAGAAGUUCUUUGGAACAGGACAUCAUAGAGGGUGACAAUCCCGUCCGCGACCGGUCGUGCGUUCAUCUACGAUACGCUUUCAAAGAGUCGAGUUGUUUGGGAUUGCAGCUCCAAAUGGGUGGUAAACAUCACCUAAGGCUAAAUAUUGGCGAGAGACCGAUAGCGAACAAGUACCGUGAGGGAAAGAUGAAAAGAACUUUGAAAAGAGAGUUAAACAGUACGUGAAAUUGUUGAAAGGGAAACGAUUGAAGUCAGUCGUGCUGGCGCGAAAUCAACCUUCUCGUCGGGAGACCCAUGUUGUGGCGAGCCUCAAAACCGCCACAGCAUGUGUCUCACGAUGAGGGGGAGCACUUUCGUGUCCGCUGGUUAACAUCAAUUUCGAACGUCAUAAAAAGGCUGGAGGGAUGUGGCUCCUUCGGGAGUGUUAUAACCUUUAGCGGAAUGUGGUGGUCGGGAUUGAGGAUUGCAACGAAUACCUUUAGGGCUGUUCCACCUGGCUUCUCUUUGGUAUCCUGGUGACGACAGCUUGCUGACGUUGUUAGGAUUCGCCUUUGAACAGGCUAGAGUGUGAGCAAAUUCGUUAAGGAUGUUAACGUAAUGGCUUUAAACGACCCGUCU
rnacentral:rRNA from 1 species